GAUGAACGCUGGCGGCAUGCCUAAUACAUGCAAGUCGAGCGAAGCGGGCACGGGUGAGUAACACGUGGAGAAACUCCUCUAAGACUGGGGUAACUUAGGGAAACCGGAGCUAAACCGGAAACUGAUCGAUGGAUCCGCGUUGCAUUAGCUAGUUGGUCAGGUAACGGCUUACCAAGGCGACGAUGCAUAGCCGACCUGAGAGGAUGACCGGCCACACUGGAACUGAGACACGGUCCAGACUCCUACGGGAGGCAGCAGUAGGGAAUCUUCCGCAAUGGGCGAAAGCCUGAUGGAGCAACGCCGCGUGAGUGAUGAAGGCCUUCGGAUCGUAAAACUCUGUUAGUAGGGAAGCGGUACCUAAUCAGAAAGCCACGGCUAACUACGUGCCAGCAGCCGCGGUAAUUC
rnacentral:rRNA from 1 species